rnacentral:rRNA from 1 species
UACGAAGGGGGCUAGCGUUGCUCGGAAUCACUGGGCGUAAAGCGCACGUAGGCGGAUUGUUAAGUCAGGGGUGAAAUCCUGGAGCUCAACUCCAGAACUGCCUUUGAUACUGGCGAUCUUGAGUCCGGGAGAGGUGAGUGGAACUGCGAGUGUAGAGGUGAAAUUCGUAGAUAUCGCAAGAACACCAGUGGCGAAGGCGGCUCACUGGCCCGGUACUGACGCUGAGGUGCGAAAGCGUGGGGAGCAAACAGGG